rnacentral:rRNA from 1 species
GACGAACGCUGGCGGCGUGCCUAAUACAUGCAAGCAGAACGCACAGUUUAUACCGUAGCUUGCUACACCAUAGACUGUGAGUUGCGAACGGGUGAGUAACGCGUAGGUAACCUGCCUGGUAGCGGGGGAUAACUAUUGGAAACGAUAGCUAAUACCGCAUAAUAUUAAUUAUUGCAUGAUAAUUAAUUGAAAGGUGCAAUUGCACCACUACCAGAUGGACCUGCGUUGUAUUAGCUAGUAGGUGAGGUAACGGCUCACCUAGGCGACGAUACAUAGCCGACCUGAGAGGGUGAUCGGCCACACUGGGACUGAGACACGGCCCAGACUCCUACGGGAGGCAGCAGUAGGGAAUCUUCGGCAAUAGACGAAAGGCUGACCGAGCAACGCCGCGUGAGUGAAGAAGGUUUUCGGAUCGUAAAGCUCUGUUGUAAGAGAAGAACGGGUGUGAGAGUGGAAAGUUCACACUGUGACGGUAUCUUACCAGAAAGGGACGGCUAACUACGUG